UGUCCCUGACCUGGAUAAAGUGGCAUCUGGUUGGUGGUGCUCAUUCCACAUCAGCCAGGGACAAAGAAACAACUUGCUUGUCUCUGCUUGGUUUUUGGUGUGUACUUAUGCCUGGUUCAUGUCCUGGAUACAUGG
rnacentral:snoRNA from 1 species